rfam:Gossypium arboreum cultivar AKA8401 contig_37511_1, whole genome shotgun sequence.
AAUCUAUGGUGUGGGAACUUCCUUAGCACCAACUUGAAACAAUCCCAUGCUUCGUACAAGGAUUCCCUUCAUAUUUUUUAAAAUUGGUGAUUUCUCACCUAAGUUG